ensembl:lncRNA
AACGUACUCUUUAUUGCAUAAGGUAUAAUAAUUUGUGGUUAUCAAUCUCCAGUGUUCCAAGAACUGUUGAGUCACAUUAUAUGAUGGUAGGAUCUCUACUAAUUUCUGAGUUGUACAGUAUCCUGAAAUCCAUUACAAAUUUUGGCACAACAGUGCAACAUAUCUAAAUAUGAUAUAGAUAAAGAGCAUAUUAAAUUUUGGGAGUAUUCAUAAGUCCCAUAAUAUCACAUAAUCACAGAAUCACAGAAUUUCUAGGUUGGAAGAUACCUCAAGAUCAUCGAGUCCAACCUCUGACCUAACACUAACAGUCCUCCACUAAACCAUAUCUCUAAGCCUAUCCCUAAACCUGUGCCUAUCCCUUUAGAUCUACAUCUAAACGUCUUUUAAAGACCUCCAGGGAUGGUGACUCCACCACUAUCCUGGGCAGCCUGUUCCAAUGCCUCACAACCCUUUCGGUAAAGAAGUUUUUCCUAACAUCCAACCUAAAACUCCCCUGGCGCAACUUAAGCCCAUUCCCCCUCAUCCUGUCACCAGGCACGUGGGAGAACAGACCAAGCCCCACCUCGCUACAGCCUCCUUUAAGGUAUCUGUAGAGAGCGAUAAGGUCACCCCUGAGCCUCCUUUUCUCCAGGCUGAACAAGCCCAGCUCCCUCAGCCGCUCCUCGUAGGACUUGUUCUCCAGGCCCCUCACCAGCUUCGUCGCCCUUCUCUGGACCCGCUCAAGCACCUCCAUGUCCUUCUUGUAGCGAGGGGCCUAAAACUGAACACAGUCAGUGCAGAAGGAGGGGGAGAGGUGCUCCAGGCGCCGGAGCAGAAGUCCCCUGCGGCCUGUGGUGAGGACCAUGGUGAAGCAGGAUGUCCCCCUGCAGCCCAUGGAGUACCACGGUGGAGCAGGGUUCCACGCUGCAGCCCGUGGAGAAGGCCACGCUGGAGCAGGUGGUCCUGCACCAAUGGAGGCUGCCGCCUCUGGAAGACCCCUGCCGGAGCAGAUUCCGGGCCAGACCUGUAGCCCGUGGAGAGGAGCCCACGCAGGAGCAGGUGACCUGACAGGAGCUACUGCCCGUGGGGGAGCCAGGUUGGAGCAGUUUUCUCCUGAGGGAUGGACCCCGUGGUACAGACGCAUAUCUGGAGCAGCUCUGGAAGAGCUGCUGCCUGUGGGAAGCCCACGCCGGAUCAGUUCAUCAAGGACUGCAUCCCGUGGGUGGGACCCCACAGCACAGGGGACGAGAGUGAUCGAGAAGGAGCGGCAGAGAAGAAGUGCUGUAGACUGACCAUAACCCCCAUUCCCCCGUGCCGCUCGGGGGGAGGAGGUGGAAGAGGGUGGAUGAGGGGGAAGGUGCUUUUGGUUUCUUUCCUUUGUUUCUCACUUCUCUCGCUUGUUAGUAAUAGGCAAUAAAUCUUACUAUCUUUUUAUGCUGAGUCUGUUUUGCCCGUUACAAUAAUUAUUGCGUGAUUUUCUCAUCCUUAUCUCAAUCUCUUAAGCCCUUUUCACAUAUUUUCUCCCCAUUCCUCUUUGAGGAGGGGGAGUGAGAGAGCGGCUGUGGUGGAGCUCGGCUGCCCACUCGAGCAGAACCACAACAAACAUUCAAAAAGUAAAUAAACUCUGAAAAAGAGGCAAUGAUUACUUUCAAGACUGCGGAGAGAACAAAGAAAGUGGGAUGAAGAUAGCCUCUGAAUACUAUACCCAGUCAUAUUGAAGCUCUGACAUGGAUUACACUGUAUUGACAGUUACCGACUGAGAUGAUUUCCAUAUUAAAGAUCAUGCAUCACUUGUAUGAAAAUACAAAUUCUGGUGUUACAGUAACAAUGUAAAGUUGGUAUCUUAACAUCCAAGUUUGUUUUCUAUCAUCCUGCAAUUUCAAAUUCCACUUGAAAAAUAUAGGUUGCUCUUGCUCAUUUUUGGUUCAACAUCUGAAAAAUCAAUUUAAUACUUUAAAAAUCAAUUUAAUACUUUAAAAAUCAAUUUAAUACUAUAACUGAUACAGAGGUCAUGGGAAAAGUUUGUCACAAAACUGAAUCAGCUCAUACAGGCUUCGGAUUCAAGUCUGCCUUCACAUAGUUCUUAAGGCAGCUCAGGGGUGUAAAACAAGCAACCUGCCUGACAGAAGAUUUCUCCACAAACUGUCAGUGGGUAUGAAACUGAUAUGGUGUCCUCUGAUUUUUUAAAUCACAAUAGUUUAUCAGGAGGAAAACAUAUAGUCAAACUCUCAGAACUCUUGUCACAUACAGUAGUCUUUUCUUACAAUGUUC